AGGGAAGGGCAGGGCGGGAGAGCGGGAAGCUGGGCCUCUUGCUUUUCUUUCACAUUCCCAGCAUGGUAGAUGGGUGUGGACAUCAAUCCGAAGCCCACUUCCUUUCGAGGGAUCAACAGGAUGUCUCAUCACCGCGCAAAUGCGGCUGCCCCUGUUUAACCCCAUCACAGCCUGGUGCUUCAGGAUCCCUCAAAGUCCAGGGUCAAGGCCCAUUCUCUCCCUGGAUCCUGCCUUCCCUGCUCCACCGGCUCCCUUCUCCAGCCCAACUCCAUUCCUUUCAAAGGGUCUUGUUCCCUGGAGCCUGCCAGCACCGAUCCUGUGUUCCCUAGGAGUCCGGAAGAGAUUUGAGCUUGAAAGAUGGGCAGAAGUGACAAAGGGAGACACAAGGCAGAGAGAGGAGCAGAAGCAGGAAUACAGGACACAGCAGACCCUCGAGCUUGGCGGGACACAGGAUCCUGCUCUGCAACAUCCACUUCCUGCUCCCGAUCUCCCUGAAGGGGCUGCUGCUCGUGGGCCUGCUCUGCACUGUGCUGCAAGUGAGCAGUGCUAAGGGGGCCUCCAGGGGGAAAUAAAGUCACAGCCUGAGCCGGGGAACCGCAGCUCCCACACCAUCAACACCCUCAGAGGGGGCAAGCAGAACCUCUGGCCUCCUAUCAG